GCUGGGCGUGGUGGUGCAUGCCUGUAAUCCUAGCUACUUGGGAGGCUGAGGCAGGAGAAUCGCUUGAACCAGGGAGUCGGAGGUUGCAGUGAGCUGAGAUCGUGCCACUGCAUUCCAGCCUGGUGACAGAGUGAGACUCCGUCUCAA
ensembl:misc_RNA Metazoa_SRP Metazoan signal recognition particle RNA